ensembl:lncRNA
AAUCAUAGAAAUGUAUACUUUAAAACGUUUAUUCCAUUAAUACAAAUUUUCAUAGUUUAUUUAAGCCAAACCAAUUCCAUCGCACUCUGUCCCAAGUUCAAUUCAUGUUUAAUGUCAUAAAAACCGAAAUAGAUUUUACAAACAAUUUUUACAUUUAAUUUUAAUAAAAUAAAUUCCUAUUAAAGUUUUAAAUUAACAUUUAAGUUACACAAUGCACAUAUCUUACAGAACAAUAACUAGAAACAAGAUUAAGCAAAUAAACAAUAGGUCUAAUCAUUUCAUCUCUGCAAUAAAUAUCAAUGUUGCUACAUUUAAUAGAUGUUACUGGCAAACACCAAAACUAAGGAACAAUUAAUAUCUACAUUGAUACAUUUAUGGAAAAUAGAAAGCAAUUGACAUUUGUUUAAGCCAUAUGUAAACUCAUAUAUUUUUAUCUUUGCUGAAACAUACACAUAUUGAACAAUUCACAUGGAUUAGAACUAAAACAUUAACAUAGAUUAAAUUAGAUUCAGUUUGCUCAUUAUAAUACAGUUCUUGUCAUUUGUAUAUUAUUAGAGUUUAAUUUACAGUUUUAAGACAUCAGAAACAUAACUCUUUCUUUCCAACUCAAUCAACAUGUCUUUGACUCCAGUGAUUGACAUGCAUUACAUGAGGUGAGAGGCUGUAGCAACCUCUGAAUAUGUAUGAGCUAACAUGACACGAGACAUUUAAAAUAUUUGGAACCUGAGAAUCCUAAUGAUCUGUCCCAAAUGUUUGUCCCCAUGUGACGUUUCAUUGAUUACGACCUAAUAUGGUGCAGAGCAAUCCAUUUGGCUGCUGGUGAGCAAGAAGACCCACAGCUCUGCUAAAACCAUUGACAACUGUGUGCAGUUUUCAAGGGAUUGUUAAACAUUUUUUUAAGAACUUUAUUUAACUAGGCAAGUCAGUUCUAUUUACAGUGACAGCCUAGGAACAGUGGGUUAACUGCCUUGUUCAGGAGCAGCUCAGGGAUUCAACAUGCAACCUUUCGGUUACUGGCCCAACGCUCUAAACCACUAGGCUACCUGCCUCCCCAACACUCUAACCACUAGGCUACCUGCCUCCCCAACACUCUAACCACUAGGCUACCUGCCGCCCCAACACUCUAACCACUAGGCUACCUGCCUCCCCAAUACUCUAACCACUAGGCUACCUGCCUCCCCUACACUCUAACCACUAGGCUACCUGCCUCCCCAACGCUCUAACCACUAGGCUACCUGCCUCCCCAACGCUCUAACCACUAGGCUACCUGCCUCCCCAACCCUCUAACCACUAGGCUACCUGCCUCCCCAACGCUCUAACCACUAGGUCACCUGCCACCCCAACGCUCUAACCACUAGGCUACCUGCCUCCCCAACGCUCUAACCACUAGGCUACCUGCCGCUCUAACCACUAGGUUACCUGCCGCCCCAACGCUCUAAGUUACCUGCCUCCCCAACACUGUAACCACGAGGCUAUCUGCCACACCAACGAUCUAACCACUAGGUUACCUGCCACCUCAAUGCUCUAACCAUUAGGUUACCUGCCUCCCCAACGCUCGAACCACUAGGCUACCUACCACCCUAUAACACUGUAACCACUAGGCUAUCUGCCACCCCAACGAUCUAACCACUAGGCUACCUGCCGCCCCAACGCUCUAACCACUAGAUUACCUGCCGCUCUAACCACUAGGUUACCUGACUCUCCAACACUCUAACCACUAGGCUAACUGCCUCCCCAACGUUCUAACCACUAGGCUACCUGCCGCCCCAACGCUCUAACCACUAGAUUACCUGCCGCCCCAUCGCUCUAACCACUAGGUUACCUGCUGCUCUAACCACUAGGCUACCUGCCGCUCUAACCACUAGGCUACCUGCCGCUCUAACCACUAUGUUACCUGCCUACCUAAUGCUCUUACCACUAGGCUACCUGCCGCCACAUCGCUCUAACCACUAGGCUACCUGCCGCUCUAACCACGAGGUUACCUGCCGCCCCAACGCUAUAACCACUAGGCUACCUGCCGCUCUUACCACUAGGCUACCUGCCGCCCCAACGCUCUAAUUACUAGGCUACCUGCCGCUCUAACCACUAGGCUACCUGCCGCCCCAACGCUCUAGGCUAUCUGCCACAACAACGAUCUAACCACUAGGCUACCUGCCUCCCCAACGCUCUAACCACUAUGCUACCUGCCACCCCAACGCUUUAACCAUUAGGCUACCUGCCUCCCUAACGCCCUCACCACUAGGCUACCUGUCUCCCCAACGCUCUAACCACUAGGCUACCUGUCUCCCCAACGCCCUAACCACUAGGCUACCUGCCUCCCCAACGCCCUAACCACUAGGCUACCUUUCUCUCCAACACUCUAACCAUCAGGCUACCUGCUGCCCCAAUGCUCU